UUAUUUCCCUUGUAGAUAUCAUAAAGACAGUCACCAUUUUUGUAUUGCGUUAAAUUCAAGCAAAAGUCACAAGACUUUCCACGCUCCUCAGAAUGUAUUCUUCACUGUGGAUUUGCAUUUGUUCCAUAUUAAUUGGAAAUAUUCGCGAUGGAGCUGCAAUUCAUUAUGGAGAUAUAUCUAGGAUGGGCCGUUUCAAAUCCAUUGUAACUGUUUUCACUCGUUCAAAAUUUUGUGGCGGUGCUAUACUAGAUAGAUACCACAUUCUCACUGCCGCUCAUUGCGUGAUUUGUAAGCAUCCAUCACAGCUCAAAGUAAUUGCGGGUGAUGUUGAUUUUCAAUCCGACGAGUGUGAAGUGCGUGAUGUUGCAAAAAUCGAGGUGUACGAGGGUUUUCGACCUGCUGAUGAUAAAAAAUUUGUAUUCAUGUUGGCAUUGUGCUUGAAUGCCAAAUCUCUACAUGAUUUCAUAACCAUACACGACAUCGCAGUUCUUACACUGGCAAAACCCCUGGAUCUGGGGCCAAAAGUUAGAUCAGUUACUUUGCCGAGGAAUGCCGACAUACCAAAGUGUAAAUUAGUAUCUUUUGCUGGCUGGGGUAACACAGAAGAUGGUGAACCCGAUGGUUUACUGCGACAUGCAUCAUUUAAUAUUGUACCCUUUGAAAUGUCGGACAUCUGGGAAUGGCCACGUGGUCCAAACCAAUUUCACAUCCUAGAUUUGUUUGGGAAUGCUCAGACAGAUGAAGGAGACGAUGGCGGUCCACUAAUAGAUGACGAUAUGUUACACGGUGUUCUUUCCAGGAAUAUCGACACAGCAGAGGGAGUGAGCAUUGUCACUAAGAUUUACCCUUAUCUAAAAUUUAUUAGGGCGGCAAUGGCCGACCGAAACUAACGCCACCUUUGUUGUUGAAAUAUAAUUACUAAUUGAAUGAAUAAUGAGUAAUAAUCUGUAUUUACCUCCCUUUUCCCGUGCGAAUCUGAGGAGUGAAAUAGCGUUUUCGGGGCUGUUGAGGAGCUAUCGAGGUCUUCAGGUUUUUUGCGACAAUCUAUCAGUUAGUGAAUAUUUUUGGCAACGGAAUAUUGUAUAUAAUAUAUUUGUCAACACUAGGUGGCGGUAUUUGCCGAAACUAAUAUAUGUCCUUUCCAGUGGUGUAAAGCAGCCGGUAAGUAUAUUACCUUUUAUGUAAGUUCAUUAUCAUCUAGAUUUAUUGGAAAGGAUAUAGAUAAUAGUAACGAACGUAGUUUUAAUUAAGUUUCGAAAAACAAAAUUUUUUUAAUGCCAAAAAGGGUAAUGAAGUAGUACAGCAGCGAAUGAACGUUUUAUCCGUAGUCAACAUGGAGUAAAUAUAUGGAAUUUUCCGGUUAGUUGCGCUUGAAUUUUUCUCUGGUGUGGAAAUGGCAUUCGAGCCGAAGGUCACGAAUGGACAACAGGAUGAGUCAAAAAACCUGUCGUAAUCGAAAGGACUUUCAGGUCUCUCAGGUUGAAAAGCAUGUUGAACUAAUUUCAAAACAGAAAAUUGUGAAGAGGAGUGGAAAAAACUAUUUCCCAGAAUUUUAGAUAAAUUGUAGGAGAAGUAUUAUUCCUGCGGUAAACUUGAAGUGAUAAAAAUCGUUCAUAAAUUCUGUCACAGUAAUAAAGAGGCUCUUUAGAUGCUAUGUACUUGCGCAUGUGUCCCGGAAUGUGUAUCGUCGAUGAUAAAAAUUGUUCUAUAUAAGUCCGUGGAUUUCUUUUAUUUUGCAACGUAAUUUCUCGAAAUAACAGACUUUUUCACUUCCGUAUUCACAAAAAAAGAAAAUUAGGAAGUUUCUUCAUCAUCAACAAAAUGUAUUUUUCCCUCUGGAUUUGGAUCUGUUUAAUAUUAUUUGAAAAUUCUCAAUGUGGGGAUGCGAUACAUUUUGGAAAAAUACCUGAAGAAGGUCAGUUCAAAUAUAUGGCGGCUAUUUUUUAUAAUAGCUGCUACCAAUGUGGGGGUACUAUCAUAGAUGACAGACACAUUCUCACAGCAGCUCAUUGUGUAUUUGACCGUGAAGUUCAAGGUCUCGUUGUACUAGUCGGUACAGUUGAUUUGCAAUCAACGAGACGUGAGUAUUAUACCGUUGAAAGAAUACACGUGCCUGAACAGUUUACGACUUUACAAGAUGCAAAAUGGGAACUUAUGGAUGCUCUGAAUUUAAAAGCUCGACGUUGGCAGGAUUUCCUACCGAAAAAUGACAUCGCUGUGCUCACAUUAACUGACUCCAUAGUUCUGGGAGACAAAGCUACUCCAGUUAUGUUGCCCUCUGAUGAUGCCCUUCCGUAUUGUGCUGCAAUUCCUUUUGCCGGAUGGGGUACCAUGGAGAACGACCCGGUGGAUUCCCUUGCACGAUUCAUGAAUUUUAAUAUUAUAUCUGCUGAAGUAUUCAAAGAAUAUGAUUUGGCAAGUUCUGAGAAUCAAUUCGAUGCGGCAGAUUUCACGGGACGAUCGAAGGUAGACAAGGGAGACAGUGGUGGUCCAUUGGUUCAUAACAAUAUCGUAUAUGGUAUACUUUCUACUGGUUGGUCGUCACAUCUAGGAAAUUCAGCCAUUUUUACCCAAGUUUAUGGUCACCUGGAUUUUAUUAAGAACGCUACGCGUGCGUAGAAAAAUUAUCCUAUCGUAACCGUGCGCGAAACUUUUUUUUCAACGAACUUUCAGGUUCCCCAGUUUGAAAAGUAUGUUGAACUACUUUCGAAAUGAAAAGUCGUGAAGAGGAGUGGAGAAAAAUAUUUCUCUGAAUUUUAGAUAAAUUGAAGGAGAAGUAUUAUUCCUGCAGUAAAUUUGAAGUGAAAAAAAUCGUUCAAAAUUUUGUCACAGUAAUAAAGAUAGUCUUUAAUUGUUACGUACUUUUGUGUACGUGUUCACCGGAGUCUUCAAGGUUGAUAAUAAAAUAUUUUAUAUAUAAAGCCGUACAUUUAUUUUAUUUUGUAACUGUCUUUUGCCAAAAUCACAGACGUGUCACUUUCGGAUUCAAAGAACAUGAAUCCCACCACCAACAGAAGGCAUUUUGCACUGUGGAUGUGGGUGUGUUUGAUAUUAAUUGAAAAUUUUCAAUGUGGGGAUGCGAUACAUUUUGGAAAAAUAGCUGUGGACGGUCAGUUUAAAUACAUGGCAGCUAUUUUUCAUAAUAGCAGCCAUGUAUGUGGUGGUGCUAUCAUAGAUGACAGACACAUUCUCACAGCAGCUCAUUGUGUAGCUAACGCUACAGCUAGAGAGAUCGUUGUAGUAACUGGCGCAGCCGAUUGGCGAUCGCCAUGGCGUCACUAUUCUACUGUUAAGAAAAUACACAUACAUGAAGAAUAUCUGCCCAUGCACAGUGAAAAUUGGGAAUUUGUGGAGUAUUCACACUUAAAAUCUCGCCGUUGGGAAGAGGUGGUCACCAAAAAUGACAUCGCAGUGCUCGCAUUGACUGAAGCUCUACCUCUGGGAGAAAAUAUUGAUCCAGUUAUGUUGCCCCUCGGUGAUUCCCCCCUUCUUUAUUGUAGCACAAUUUUUGUUGCGGGAUGGGGCAGGAACGAGAACAACGAGACGGAUUCCAUUUUACGGUUUAACAAUGUGGCGGUUGUAAAUCCGAAAUUGCUUAAACGCUGGGAUUUAGCAAGUUCUCAGGAUCAAUUUGAUAUCGUGGAUUUUUCAAGAACAUCUAAGAUGGACAGGGGGGACGGCGGCAGCCCAUUUGUUCAUAAUAAUAUAAUAUAUGGUGUACUUUCCUUCGCUUGGCAGUCAGCUAGAGGACGUUCAGUAGUUGUUUCCCAUGUUUCUAGUUACCUAGAUUUUAUCCAGAAAGUUGUGCAUGCAACUGAUGAAAAUAACGGGAGACGCUGACGGUCCACUAAUAAAUGACGAUAUCUUAGACGGUAUACUUUCCAGGACAACCGACACAGCAGGCGGAGUGAGCAUUGUCACUAAGAUUUACCCUUAUCUAAAAUUUAUUAGGACGGUAAUGGCCGACCGAAACUAACGCCACCCUUGUCGUUGAAAUAUAAUUAGUAUUUGAAUGAAUAAUGAAUAAUAAUUUGCAUUUACCUCCCUUUUCCCGUGCGAAUCUGAGGAGUGAAAAAGCGUUUUCGGGGCUGUUGAGGAGCUAUCGGGGUCUUCAGGUUUUUUUGCGACAAUCUAUCAGUUAGUGAAUAUUUUUGGCAACGGAAUAUUGUAUAUAAUAUAUUUGCCAAGACUAGAUGGCGGUAUUUGCCGAAACUAAUAUAUGUCCUUUCCAGUGGUGUAGAGCAGCCGGUAAGUAUAUUACCUUUUAUGUAAGUUCAUUAUCAUCUAGAUUUAUUGGAAAGGAUAUAGAUAAUAGUAACGAACGUAGUUUUAAUUAAGUUUCGAAAAACAAAAUUUUGUUAAUGCCAAAAAGGGUAAAUGAAGUAGUACAGCAGUGAAUGAACGUUUUAUCCGUAGUCAACAUGGAGUAAAUAUAUGGAAUUCCCCGGUUUGUUGCGCUUGAAUUUUUCUCUGGUGUGAAAAUGGCAUUCGAGCCGAAGGUCACGAAUGGACAACAGGAUGAGUCAAAAAACCUGUCGCAAUCGAAAGGACUUUCAGGUCUCUCAGGUUGAAAAGCAUGUUGAACUAAUUUCAAAACAGAAAAUUGUGAAGAGGAGUGGAAAAAACUAUUUCCCAGACUUUUAGAUAAAUUGUAGGAAAAGUAUUAUUCCUGCGGUAAACUUGAAGUGAAAAAAAUCGUUCAAAAAUUUUGUCACAGUAAUAAAGAUAGUCUUUAAUUGUUACGUACUUUUGCGUGUUCACCGGAGUCUUCAAGGUUGAUAAUAAAAUAUUUUAUAUAUAAAGCCGUACAUUUAUUUUAUUUUGUAACUGUCUUUUGCCAAAAUCACAGACGUGUCACUUUCGGAUUCAAAGAACAUGAAUCCCACCGCCAACAGAAGGCAUUUCGUACUGUGGAUGUGGGUGUGUUUGAUAUUAACUGAAAAUUUUCAAUGUGGGGAUGCAAUACAUUUUGGAAAAAUAGCUUUGGAAGGUCAGUUUAAAUAUAUGGCAGCUAUUUUUAAUAAUGGCAACCAUGUAUGUGGUGGUGCUGUCAUAGAUGGCAGACACAUUCUCACAGCAGCUCAUUGUGUAGCUCACGCUAAAGCUAGAGCGAUGGCUGUAAUAACUGGUGCAGCCGAUUGGCGAUCGUCGAGGCGUCAGUAUUCUAAUGUUAAGAAUAUACACAUACAUGAAGAAUAUAUGCCCUUGCAAAAUGCAAAAUGGAAAUUUGUGGAGUAUUUACAAUUAGAACCUCGACGUUGGCAAGAUUUGGUCACCAAACAUGACAUCGCAGUGCUCACAUUGACUGAAGCUCUACCUCUGGGAGAAAAUAUUAUUGCAGUUAUGUUGCCCCGCAAGGAUUCCCUUCCUUAUUGUGACACAAUUUCUGUUGCGGGAUGGGGCAGGAGGGAAAACGACGAGACGGAUUCCAUUUUACGGUUCAGUAAUUUGGCGGUUGUAAGUCCGCAAUUGUCCAAACGCUUGGAUUUGGCAAGUUCUAAGGAUCAAUUUGAUAUCAUGGAUUUUUCGAGAACAUCUAAGAUGGACGUGGGGGACAGUGGCAGUCCAUUUGUUCGUAACAAUAUAAUAUAUGGUGUACUUUCCACCGGUUCGGAGGCAGACCUAGGAAAUUCAGUAGUUGUUACCCAAGUUUAUAGUUACCUAGAUUUUAUCGAGAAUGCUGUGCAUGCAACUUAUGAAAAUGACGGUAAAUAAAGUGCACCAAAGACACACGGAGAGAAAGAUUCUUGAAAAAUUGCGUGUCUGUUCCGUAAUCUGCCAGUCAAAACAAUAUUUGAUAAAAAUGACGGAACAGUUAUGUACUUUUUCAGUGAAGUUUCAGGAAAAACUCGGAACGUUCGAGAAAAAGUAUGGAAGGUUCAGUGAAAAAAUGCGUAACUGUCCCGCAAUUUUUACUGAAUAUUCUUUCGACUGGGAGAUCACGGAACGGGUACGUAAUUUUUAAAGAAUUUUUCUCUCCGUGCAGUAGUCACAGCAGAAAUAUUAUUGAAAUCCUCAAUUAUAAACUGCUCACAAAAUUAGCAAAAUUUUUACGAGAAAACUUUUCAUUUUGAUUUGAGCCCGCUUAAAGAAAUAUGUGUUUGGAUAUUCUGAUUCGCUGUCGAUUUGAGGAGUGGAAUUGUAUUUUCUUGAAUGAUUGAGCAGCUGAACUAUUCUACAAAACUAUUUUUUGAACUAUUCUACUAAAAUUUUUGAGUUAGGAAGUAUUCUUGGGUACAGCAUAAUGUACUAGCUUCAAAAAGAGAAAAAUUAUUUCUGUGAUAAACUUGAGGUGAAAAAAAUCGUUCGGAUAUUCUGUUGCAGUAAUAAAGAUGGGCUUUAACUCCUAUGUAGGUCAGUAUGUUUCUCCGAUUGUUUAUCAUUGAUAAUAAAAUUGUCUAAAUAUAAGCACGUGGAUUCUUUUAUUUUACAAUUUAACUCUCCCAAAAUACCAGGCUUUUUCUCUUUCGUAUGCAAAGAAUAAAAAAUCAGGAGUUUUUUCACCAUCAACUGGAUGCAGUUCUCACUGUGAAUAUGGAUGGAAACGCCAUAAUUAAGGGCACAAGAGCUACCGAGGGCCAAUUCAAAUACAUGGCAGCGAUUUUCAUAAAUGGAUAUCUAAACUGUGGAGGUGCUAUACUAGACGAAAGAAACAUUCUCACUGCGGCCCAUUGCGUACAUCGUCGGAAGCCUCAAAUGAUGAAGAUAGUAGUUGGCGCAGGGAAUUACAAACUAGAAGGGCGUAUAGUCCGUGAUGUGAAGACAGUACAUGUGUACAACAAAUAUAUACCUAAACAAAUACCGAUUCCAAAUCUACAGUACCAACUACCUAUAAGACAUCAACAACCGAAGCAUGAUAUCGCAGUCCUGACACUAACGGAACCUUUAAGUCUCGAAGGAAAUAUUAUGGCAGUUAAUUUAACUCAGGAUUGUAAUCUACCGUAUUGUGAACCAAUACUUUAUGCUGGAUGGGGCCGUCAGGAGGACGAUGUAAUGGAUGAAUAUUUACGAUAUAUGGAAAUGUUUAUUAUAUCUCCUAGACGGCUGAUGACAUACAACUUUAUAUACUUUGAGAACAAAUUUUACACUAUCAGUUUUUCGAGAAAUGCUGUUCCAGGCCCGGGAGAUAGUGGUGAUCCCGCGGUCUCCAACAAUAUCGUAUAUGGUGUACUUUCAAUGCGUCAGGUUAUGCAGCGAGCAGCCGUCUUGACAGAAGUUUGUCAUUACUACGAUUUUAUCGUCAAAAUUAUGGAAGAAACCAGUACCACUGAGGCGGAUUGCACUGAAGAAUUACCAACCACUAGCAAUGUUGGGAUAGAGAAGAGCAAGAAAAAGUGUAUCAUACAAUAAUUGAAACAUAGUACAUGAAAA